rnacentral:rRNA from 1 species
GUAACCGCAAGGAGCCAGCCGCCGAAGGUGGGGUAGAUGAUUGGGGUGAAGUCGUAACAAGGUAGCCGUAUCGGAAGGUGCGGCUGGAUCACCUCCUUUCUAAGGA